ACACCGUUGGUGAAGUGGUUAUCAUGCUUGCCUUCCAUAGAGUUAGGCUUAGGGUGCAAGCAAGCGGCUCGGGUUCGAUUCCCGAACGGUGUA